rnacentral:lncRNA from 1 species
AUAAAAUUUCCAACAAGUGUUUAAAAGAGGGCAAGAAAGAAAAGAAAUUAAGAAGAUGAAGUAGCUUACUUUGCAAUUAAAGUUUGUGUGUCACAACAUUACAUGCCACUCCUCACACGCAUUUCAUUGAACAGUUCAUAAGCUUUGCUCAUCUUACCAUCCUUAUUCCUUGCAAUACUCAUAUAUCACAGAAUUGUAAGCAUACAAGCCGGAAAAGCCCAAUCAAGCUUUAUCUUCUCAUAGAGCUCGAAUACAUCUCUUUUUAAGUCCUUUCUUAAAGAGCCCAUCUAUCAAAACAGUGUAAGUGUACUGAUGAGCAACCAAAUCCAGCUCUUCCAUUUUACAAAACAAUUCCUUCAACACCCAUCAGGCAUCAAUCAACGUAGUGUAUACAACAAUAUUUGGACUUUAAGUCUAUAAUCAUGCUAGACAUUUUGUCCAAAACCUAAAAUUCCCUCUUCAAAUCGCCAGUAUCACGACAACCGUUCAUCAAAAUCCCAAAAGUGUGCACAUCCGUAGCAAUUCUCCCCUUAUAUCUAUCAAAUACACAUCAAGCUUUCUCGAAUUUAUUCCUCUUCAUAAGAAAAUUCAGUACAUUAUUCAGUGUAGCCGACUUGGGCACAAACCCUUUAUCAACCAUUUUAUCAAAAUAAAACGAAGCUUGCUCCGGUUGCAAUUGAGAAUUAACACGAGCAUUAAUACUCACUUCAUAAAAAGCGGACAAUUGAUAUUCCUAGUGCCUUGGGUUAAAUGGCUAAGAAGAGAAGAAAGCGUAAAUAAUGGGGAUGUGAGGCCACUGCAAAGUAGGGCAUGUUAAAGAAGAGAAAGUGGAGAAUAAUCACCGUUAUGGAUCAGUGAGUCAAGCAGGCGGCGACGAGUCGAGCAGAGACAGAGGAGGAGAGUAAUGAAAAAAGAUUUUCCAUUUUCUUCACUAAAAAAAAGGGCCAAAAAUAGGACCGGUCAUGUCGAAGGAGCUGUUGAAGAGUGAGAGUGGAGAACGAGG